rnacentral:rRNA from 1 species
AUUGAACGCUGGCGGCAGGCCUAACACAUGCAAGUCGAACGAGUGGCGGACGGGUGAGUAAUGUCUGGGAAACUGCCUGAUGGAGGGGGAUAACUACUGGAAACGGUAGCUAAUACCGCAUACCAUCAGAUGUGCCCAGAUGGGAUUAGCUUGUUGGUGGGGUAACGGCUCACCAGGGCGACGCUCCCUAGCUGGUCUGAGAGGAUGACCAGCCACACUGUAGCUGGGAAACGGGCCUGACUCCUACGGGAGCCAGCGGUGGGGAAUAUUGCACAAUGGGCGCAAGCCCGAUGCAUCCAUGCCGUGUGUAUGAAGAGGGCCUUCGGGUUGUAAAGUAAUUUCAGCGGGGAGGCGUUACCUGCAGAGGAAGCACCGGCUAACUCCGUGCCAGCAGCCGCGGUAAUUC